GGAGGAAGCAGGGGAUCGCAAGACCUUGCGCUUUUGGAGCGGCCGAUGCCUGAUUAGCUUGUUGGUGAGGUAAAAGCUCACCAAGGCUCCGAUCAGUAGCUGGUCUGAGAGGACGACCAGCCACACUGGGACUGAGACACGGCCCAGACUCCUACGGGAGGCAGCAGUGGGGAAUUUUGGACAAUGGGGGCAACCCUGAUCCAGCCAUGCCGCGUGAGUGAAGAAGGCCUUCGGGUUGUAAAGCUCUUUCAGCCGGAACGAAACGGUCACGGUUAAUACCCGUGACUACUGACGGUACCGGAAGAAGAAGCACCGGCUAACUACGUGCCAGCAGCCGCGGUAAUACGUAGGGUGCGAGCGUUAAUCGGAAUUACUGGGCGUAAAGCGUGCGCAGGUGGUUUUGUAAGUCAGAUGUGAAAUCCCCGGGCUUAACCUGGGAACUGCGUUUGAAACUACAAAGCUAG
rnacentral:rRNA from 1 species